AUUGAACGCUGGCGGCAUGCUUUACACAUGCAAGUCGAGCGGCAGCGCGGGGGCAACCCUGGCGGCGAGCGGCGAACGGGUGAGUAAUGCAUCGGAACGUACCCUGGAGUGGGGGGAUAACGCCGCGAAAGCGGCGCUAAUACCGCAUAUGCUCUGAGGAGGAAAGUGGGGGACCGCAAGGCCUCACGCUCUGGGAGCGGCCGAUGUCCGAUUAGCUAGUUGGUGAGGUAAAGGCUUACCAAGGCGACGAUCGGUAGCUGGUCUGAGAGGAUGAUCAGCCACACUGGGACUGAGACACGGCCCAGACUCCUACGGGAGGCAGCAGUGGGGAAUUUUGGACAAUGGGGGCAGCCCUGAUCCAGCCAUGCCGCGUGAGUGAAGAAGGCCUCGGUUGUAAG
rnacentral:rRNA from 1 species